rnacentral:lncRNA from 1 species
UGCAUUCUGCGCUUUUUCGAGAAUGUCCCUGCUCCUCCGGAGAACUGUGGGUGGAGAAUGGAAUUUGGUCUAGCCUUGACCAGAGGCGGGAAGCUGGUCCUGUCCUCAGGGUCUCAUAUUGUUGGUGCAGGACCAACUAUAUACUGCACCUAUUUUCUCUUUUAUGAAGGCUAUAAACUUGUUCAAUAUGCAGAGUCCAAAGAAUCAGGAGCAAAUAACGGAUGAUGAAGACACUGAGGAGGAGAAAGAAGAUAAAAAUAAGGGACAACCUAUUACAUUCAUUUUUUCCCCUCCCUGUUUAA